UGGGGAAUAUUGCACAAUGGGGGAAACCCUGAUGCAGCGACGCCGCGUGAGCGAAGAAGGCUUUCGAGUCGUAAAGCUCUGUCCUAUGAGAAGAUAAUGACGGUAUCAUAGGAGGAAGCCCUGGCUAAAUACGUGCCAGCAGCCGCGGUAAUACGUAUGGGGCGAGCGUUGUCCGGAAUUAUUGGGCGUAAAGGGUACGUAGGUGGUUUUUUAAGUCAGGUGUCAAAGCGUGGAGCUUAACUCCAUUAAGCACUUGAAACUGAAAGACUUGAGUGAAGGAGAGGAAAGUGGAAGUCCUAGUGUAGCGGUGAAAUGCGUAGAUAUUAGGAGGAAUACCGGUGGCGAAGGCGACUUUCUGGACUUUUACUGACGCUCAGGUACGAAAGCGUGGGGAGCAAACAGG
rnacentral:rRNA from 1 species